AGUGGAGGCAGAUUUGAGUGCUUGUCUCUUGCUCCGGUUUCCAUGCUUCAAUCCACUCUGUCCCUUCAACAUUCAAAAGAUAACUCUCAUCGCAGAUUCCAAGACAGAUUCAUCUGAAGAUGAAGAGACACAACCACAGAGACCCAAUACAUAUACUGAUAUACCACGAAGGAUUCACAUAAAAUUGCACAUACAAGUAUAACUAUUUGCACAUACACACACUUGUUUUAACAAACAAGAGAAAAUGCCCUGCAGUAGUAAGUACCACCAGAGGCUACAGCGGUUCUUGGAGCUGAUUUCUACAAUUUCCAUAUCCUGCUGGGAAUUUCAAGGUCAAGUGCCCCCAGUGGACACUUAGGAGAAACAGCUACAGACCAGGAAUAUAAUAAAGGGUAAAGGCUGUUGAAUUUAAAACCUCUCAGCCUGUGAGAAAGCCACGUUUGGUCUGGAUGAAGGCAGAAGUCACUGCUCCUUGAAGGAAAGAAGGUUUGAAAGAAAAUCGGAGAGAGGAAUCAAAAAACAGGGGAUCCAAGAAAUCAAAUUUCUCCUCAUCUGGCUAUGUUAGCUUUCCAGGACACUAUACUGUGAGAGAAAUGUUUUGUUAGAAGUAAAUAUCAGUGAUUUU